rnacentral:misc_RNA from 1 species
CAGAGUUGAAAGACUCCCCAAACCAUCGCGAAACGUUACCCUAACCGUUGCUUCGGCGGGCGGUUCCUCCUUCAACCCCCCACGCGGUUGGGAAACCCCUCGGUCCCCCUUUCGCGGGGGGGCGCCCGCCGGAGGUCACGGCAAACUCUUGAUACCUGAACGGCCUCUCUGAGUAUUCUGUACUGAAGUAAGUCA